rnacentral:rRNA from 1 species
GGUUGCGAUCAUACCAGCACUAAUGCACCGGAUCCCAUCAGAACUCCGCAGUUAAGCGUGCUUGGGCGAGAGUAAGUACUAGAAUGGGUGACCCCCUGGGAAGUCCUCGUGUUGCAACCC